rnacentral:snoRNA from 1 species
AAUAUUAUUAUCUGAAGUAGUAUCUGAUGUUGAUACGUCCAUUCAUGGUCUUGAAUGUUCUCUGAAUAUU